UACGUAGGGUGCGAGCGUUGUCCGGAAUUAUUGGGCGUAAAGGGCUCGUAGGCGGUUUGUCGCGUCGGGAGUGAAAACCAUGAGCUUAACUCAUGGCUUGCUUUCGAUACGGGCAGACUAGAGGUAUGCAGGGGAGACUGGAAUUCCUGGUGUAGCGGUGAAAUGCGUAGAGAUCGGGAAGAACAUCAGUGGCGAAGGCGGUCUGCUGGGCCGUUGCUGACGCUGAGGCGCGACAGCGUGGGGAGCAAACAGG
rnacentral:rRNA from 1 species